AGCGAAUUUCUUGAAAAAAUUGCACCAAAUUACUCAAAACCUGAGCGUAUAGAUACAGCAUUUUAAAUAACAAUAACAGUUGUAACUACCUAGUUUCAGAAAGUCAAAUAAAGAAUAAAUAAAGAAAACAUCUUUAUAAAUUCGACAAUACAUAUGUGACAGAAACAUUGCAAGUUGUACAAAACAUAACGGAAGUUGAAUAUUCCACGGUCUCAUACAGAUCCAAGACUGCCACUGAAAAAGUUAAUGUCUCAUGUUUUGAUGACAUGAUCAUUUUUUCUCACAAAAAGGGACUUUUAUGGCUACAAGGGCUGUUAGCUGGCUAAUGUAACUUCAGUGAACACGUUAGCUUACUGCAGUAGCUGAUCAGAGGACAAGCAGACCUCGGAAGUAAACCUGGAAGCUAGAAAACUUUUUUGGAGCAGUUCUCAUUUGAAUGAAAAGCCAUUGAGAGAUUUUUUUGUCUGCAUUUAGAUGAAGAAAGUUCAGACACAUCCAUGCAUCCAUUUUCUGCCGCUUGUCCCGGGCCGGGUCGUGGUGGCAGCAGGCUGAGCGAGGACGUCCCCGGCAGAUGAGAUGUAUAAUCUCUCUAGUGCGUUCUGGGCCGACCCCCAGGGUCUCCUGCCGAGCUCCCUUCCGGAUAUCAGUGUUGAUGAAGGCAUCCUGGACUUGCCUGAUAAGACCUCAGAGACGAUGGUUCCCCUGGCAACGCCAUGUGUCCCUGUGACACUGUGAGGCUUCAGCAGCUUCUCUGUGAAUCUUAUCAAACCAGAGUUCAUAUAAACAGCUGCAGCAGCUUUUCUAACCAACUCCUCGCCCAUGUUCAGGAUACAUGAUCAUCAUGUUUGCAGACUUUCUGUACUUUUGGCUCUCUGUUCAGAGGGUUGUACUUCCGCACCAAGUGGACUGAUUGUGACCAAUAUAAGAAAACGACUAUGCAAGAGGAGACUCUCCCUCCUACAGAGAACACAGAGACACUGAGGAACCAGACCUGGACCAGGACCAGAUUGCAAAGCCAGGAUAAAGAGGUUCAGUGAAUGUGGUGUUGAAGGUGUGGAGGUGGAUCAGUGUGUCAGAGGA